GCACUGGCUUACGCAGCACAUACACUAAAUUGGAAAAAUAGAGAGAAAAUUAGCAUGGGCCCUGUGCAAGAAUGACACUCAAAUUUGUGGGGUGUUCCAUAUUUUU